UGGGGAAUUUUGGACAAUGGGCGAAAGCCUGAUCCAGCAAUGCCGCGUGUGUGAAGAAGGCCUUCGGGUUGUAAAGCACUUUUGUCCGGAAAGAAAUCCUUGGCUCUAAUACAGUCGGGGGAUGACGGUACCGGAAGAAUAAGCACCGGCUAACUACGUGCCAGCAGCCGCGGUAAUACGUAGGGUGCAAGCGUUAAUCGGAAUUACUGGGCGUAAAGCGUGCGCAGGCGGUUUGCUAAGACCGAUGUGAAAUCCCCGGGCUCAACCUGGGAACUGCAUUGGUGACUGGCAGGCUAGAGUAUGGCAGAGGGGGGUAGAAUUCCACGUGUAGCAGUGAAAUGCGUAGAGAUGUGGAGGAAUACCGAUGGCGAAGGCAGCCCCCUGGGCCAAUACUGACGCUCAUGCACGAAAGCGUGGGGAGCAAACAGGAUUAGAUACCCUGGUAGUCCACGCCCUAAACGAUGUCAACUAGUUGUUGGGGA
rnacentral:rRNA from 1 species